AGGUAACUGUUUAUCUCUGAUAGACACUGGUAUUUAACUUGCCACCCUCUAGACAUUAUAGGUGUUAAUUUCUGAGACAGAUAAGACAUGCUGAACUUUUUAUUUUGUUGAUUUUCUAGGCCUAAAAACAAUGGUUUCAUUAGGAGUGAAAAACCCACUACUAGAUUUAACAGCUUUGGAAGAUAAACCAUUAGAUGAGGUAAGAAGCAAUAAAAGAAGUUUUGAGAGAAAAGAGUCUUUUCCUAGUCUUCAACAUUGUCUUAAGCGUAGACCUAUUCCACUUGUGAGAAUGUCAGAUAAGCAAAAUACUGUUAUCAGAAGUGCUUUGAAAUAGCGUUGUUUGCCAUUGAAAUUGCCUAGAAGAAAUGAAAUUCCUGUGUGAGUUGCUAAAACCUUUUAAAAAUAAAUUUCUAGCUCCCUCAUCCGCAGUUCCCUAGUAAUAAUAAAGGCUUAACGUGAUGAGUUCAGCUUUAUGCUCUAGCUAACAUUUAAUCUAAAGAAAUAUGGAUAAAUUAAUAAAUAAGGAAGAUAAC
rnacentral:sRNA from 1 species